GAACCAGCUUGGACCUUGUAGCUGCAGAGCUGUCACCACCUCCAAGGCUUAAAAGAUGAGGGGAAGGAGAAUAACAGAAUCCUGAGAGACGAGAAGAUCCUAUGGUGAGAGUGGACUUGAGAGGAGCAGUGACUCAGGAUCCCAGGCAGCUCAAGAACCAUUUGAGAGAGAGAGACGGAGACAGAGACAAAGUCAGGAAGAUGGAAAUGGAAUCAUCACCUUAUUAUUGGAUGUAUUCGGCUGCAAGUGACAGAAAACUCCAACUGAAGUUGAUUUACAGAAAAUGUCAUAAGUAAUAUAACCAGAGGUCCAAAGGGAACGUGGCUCCAGGGCAGUGUCAGGGCCUCUGCUCCUCUUCAGGGGAUUCCCUUGGCCCUGCCCACCCGCUGUGUUUUGGCUUCGUUCUCAGGCUGAGACCAAGAUGGCACGUCAGUUCCAGGUAUGAUAUGCAGACAUAACGACAUCCAGAGGAAGAAGAGGACUGUACCUUUCUUAAAUCUCUUCCAAGAAUAAGAAUGAGGAGACCUUUCCUGGAAAGCUCUAACACCUGCCCAGAAGAUUUUCUCCCAUGUCUAUUGUGCCAGAAAUACGUUAUCUACACAUUCUUAAACCACUUACUAACAAGGGGAAUAGAAUUAACGUACUUGGCUUAGAUUAAUCAUCUGGGGUGAAAUAGAUUCUGAUGACACGGGGACUUAGACCACUGUAUUGCAACUGUUAUUAAUCAAUUGGAAUGCCCAGAGCCAAAUUUUAGGCUUACCACUAGCAAUGUCAUGAACUUUGGAUAUUACCAUUCCCCCGAGCUUUAUCUUAUUUUCUACCUCAGUUUUCUCACAUUCUUAGUUUUUAAUAUAUUGAAAUAUAUAUUUUAUUGCAAGUGACCUCAAAUCCUUUUUUAUAAUGUGGUGGAGUAAAA
rnacentral:lncRNA from 1 species